CACAGGAAACACUUGCUGGCCACAGGAAACAGCAGCCAAUGCGGAAGAAAAACUGUCAUAGUGCAAUCCUUAUCAAGUUAUCUUCAUUACACCAGACCAAUUAUAAAUGUAUAUGCUGGAGAGCGAGGGGCACUUUGAGUUCCUGGUCCUGUUUGUGCUCUGAGCACAGUGUGGUCACAAAUUAUUUAUUUAUAGCCAGGAAAUACCUUCAGUGUUAAUCUCUCAAUCUUUUUAUAGGUAACCCAUAACUGGGAACUUUCUCUUAAGACUGCUUUACUCAGAAUUUAGUCAGAAAGGGCUGUAUCAAAACUUCUCCUUCUUCCUGCUGAAGAAGAAUCUGCUAGCACUUUUUGUGGUUGUUGUUGAAGCUUGACUGAACGAUUUACUGUGUAUCCUUCAGAGGGUGAUAUGCAGCCACUUCCCAGGAAGGAGGGCUUCGGUAUGCAUAGCAAAAGAGGAAAUAUCUCAGCCUGAAGCUGCUGGGGCUGUAAACACUAAAAAAGGCCUUUUACUUCACCUACAGUGCAACAGGAGUGCCUGCCUGCAUCAGUUUUUAUCUGACCUGCUCCAGCCAGAAAGUGAAACCUAAGGAUUUUUAUUACACUAUUAUCUAGAGAUCAACAGUUUACCUGUUGCUACUGUCUUGACCUAAACUUAAGAUCAAUGAUUAACCAGACAAAAUUUGAGGGUGCGUAGAAGUAAGUUUAACUUUAUCCUGUCAUUUUCUGCCAUCUGGUUGUGGUCACUGCUUGUUUUGUUUCUAAAUGUAAUUAAAUAUUGCUUGUGUAAGGUACAGCAACUUUACCAGUUUCCUAGCACAAGCUCUGGAAAUUUGAGAAUUGAACAUGCACAAAUUACAUGACACCACCAUGGCCUCAUCUGGAGUUCCUCUUGGCUAGUCUAUGUGUAAAUGCACUGGAAUAUGGAGGGGGGGACUGGUAUGACACUGGUCUAGAGGCAGGAGAAUUAGAGCUUUCUGGUUAAAGUACUUUCUUAUUCUCACCAUAGCCUUUUAUCCUUACACUUGCUCUACAUCACCUAUUUUGCUGAGCACACUGGAGUCAUCAGCAGCCACAUGAGCCAGGGCUCUCUUCAGAGCUGGACCAGAGUCUUUUCCAGUUGUUUUGAAUGAGACUGAGCUUCUGGGCAAAUUGUUCCACUGUGUGACCACUCUAAUAAUGGAGAAAUUCUAGCUUAAUCCAGGAAUUUUCCUUUCUGUUUCUUUGUGUCUGUUGUUUGACCUAUGACUGUGCAGUUGAUUUUGGCAAGGGAUGAGUUGCUGGUAUAAAAAUAACCUCAAUAAAAGAUAAAGAGUAACAGCUUCCAAAGGAAGAAAUCUGGUGAAAUUAAAGUGUAACAGACACUUCAAACUGGGUGAUCUGACUUCAUAAGUUACUAGCAGGGAAUCAUUAUGCCUUAUGUAUUUUUUUAUUGGUAAGGCAUUGACUUUUCGUCAAGAUUAGUGGAUUAUAAAAUAUUUGUGCUACACAGUAUAAAUGAUGAUCCUACCUACUAACAAGUCUAUGGAAAGAUAUGCUAAAACUGAAUUGCAUUAAGAAGAAAAGUGCCAACAGAAAAUAAGGCAUAAUUAAUGGGAACACAUAAAUAAACCAGAGACAAAGGGAAAAGGGCAUUCUCUCCAGUCAUCUCUAAGGAUUAAUUUCUGAUAUGCUGUUUUUAUAAGGACCAUUUCACAGAAGAUAAAAUCCAUGUAACUAUGAAUAUGUAUUGCAAUUUAUUGCCAGAAGAUAAUUACAGUGUUCACAUACCUCUAAUUAGUCAUUAUAAUUUGAAGACUAGAACAUAGAGCUUAAAAUGUAAUAUACAGCAAAGGCUUAUUAAUGUCUGCCAGUAAGAUAUAUAUAUAUAUACAUAUAUUUUACUAAUAUUCAACUACUCCAUCUUCUCUGCAUGUUUGCAGUGCAACGGCCCAGGACACGCCGUACUGAAAGUCAGGAGAUGGGCAAUGCAACUACUACCGUUUACUGGGGUCAAAGCCUUGGAGAUGCAGGAAAUUAUUUUUCACAUGUCAUUCACAUAACUGACAAAGCGAGUGGAGUUACACAGUGAAUGAGCACUCUUGUCUGUUCCAUUUCCCACCAUAUGUAAGGUUUCCUUGGGUCUCAGAGCUUCCUCUGGGGUUGUUGCAGUUGCUUUUGUUUUCUCAUGGCAGCAAGGCAGCUGCGUGGAGCCGGUCGGUGCCACACAGCCCCUCAAGGCAGUUAGCAAAGAAGAGACUGAAAAACCUGUUCACAUCCCUAAAGGAGAUCACUCUUGAGUUAAUGACAACUUCACUUACACCCACAACGUUGAACUCAGAAUUGUCUAUUGUAGUUCAAUAUGCCCAUUAAUUAUUACUUCUUUAUCUUUUCAGUUUGUGAGAAGAUAGCAAAGUUGUGUCCCGUAUAAGACAUCUGAAGUCCAUCUAAGCAAAAAGCCUUUGUAGAUUCUUAUUCAGCAUUGACUUAUUCCUGUAGUUUGCAAUACUCAUAAUAUAAAAUCAUGUGAAAGCAUACCAUGUCCGAAUAAUUUCUAUGUCUUUUGUCGUCUAGUGGCUAGGAUAAGAAAAAGGCAUGAAGCUGUGAGAUGGCUCAUGAGCUCUUUACAUCUGAAGCAUUAUCGUACCCCAGAACAGCUACUUAAAACACCUGCAUUGCCAAGUUGUGAUUUGCACAUGAAUGUUUCUAUAAUUAGAAGGAGAAGCUAUUAAUUGGAAAAAAAAGUGCAUAAAUAGUAAGCAAUAAGGACAAUGCUUCUAUUUAACUUUGCUAAGUACAAAAGAUGUGACAUGACAACA